UAAUACGGAGGGUGCAAGCGUUAUCCGGAUUCACUGGGUUUAAAGGGAGCGUAGGAGGGCAGGUAAGUCAGUGGUGAAAUCUCCGGGCUUAACUCGGAAACUGCCGUUGAUACUAUCUGUCUUGAAUACCGUGGAGAUGAGCGGAAUAUGUCAUGUAGCGGUGAAAUGCUUAGAUAUGACAUAGAACACCAAUUGCGAAGGCAGCUCGUUACACGAAUAUUGACUCUGAGGCUCGAAAGCGUGGGGAUCAAACAGGAUUAGAUACCCUGGUAGUCCACGCCCUAAACGAUGGAUACUCGACAUACGCGAUACACUGUGUGUGUCUGAGCGAAAGCAUUAAGUAUCCCACCUGGGAAGUACGACCGCAAGGUU
rnacentral:rRNA from 1 species